rnacentral:rRNA from 1 species
AUUGAACGCUAGCGGGAUGCCUUACACAUGCACGUCGAACGGAGUGGCUAACGGGUGAGUAAUGCAUCGUCACGUGCCCCUUUGCGGGGGAUAACCACGCCAACGCGUAGCUCAUACCGCAUACCAUGGGACCGGCCGUUAACGGAUUAGCCAGUUGGCGGGGUAACGGCUCACCAAGGCGACGAUCCGGAGCUGGUUGGAGAGGACGAACAGCCACACUGGGACUGAGACACGGCCCAGACUCCUACGGGAGGCAGCAGUGGGGAAUUUUGGACAAUGGGGGAACCCCUGAUCCAGCCAUACCGCGUGGGGGGUGAAGGCCUUCGGGUUGUGAGGAGCUUGUAGCAAGAAAGCAGUACCUGCAGAAUAAGCACCGGCUAACUACGUGCCAGCAGCCGCGGUAAUAC